UAGCUGUUUUUCCAGUUCUGCAAUCUUGGCCAUGGAUUCGUUCUCCGCGUCCCGAAGCCGCUCUGUCAGCUGUAGCACCAGCACAUGUUCCUCCAUGUGCUCCAGCACAGCGUUCUUGGUCUCUGUGUCCUCCAGCAGCGCCCCCACAUCAAAAAUAUUGUCCAGGUACGCCUGGAUCUGCACCUGCAGCUUGUCACUCUCGGUGAGCCGAAGCCUCUGUCCCCCAGAUGGAAGGAGUGGGGUGAGGCCUGGUGUGUGUGUGGGGGGGAGUCUUUCCAAACCACCCCCCUGCCACCACUGCCAUCCAGAGGAAGGGGCCUGAGCCCUAGCCUACUUUUUCUUUAUUUUUUAAUAUAUAAUUCACAAAUCAUAAAAUC
ensembl:lncRNA FMNL1-AS1 FMNL1 antisense RNA 1